rnacentral:rRNA from 1 species
GCGCGAAACCUCCGCAAUGUGAGAAAUCGCGACGGGGGGAUCCCAAGUGCCAUUCUUAACGGGAUGGCUUUUCAUUAGUGUAAAGAGCUUUUGGAAUAAGAGCUGGGCAAGACCGGUGCCAGCCGCCGCGGUAACACCGGCAGCUCUAGUGGUAGCAGUUUUUAUUGGGCCUAAAGCGUCCGUAGCCGGUUUAAUAAGUCUCUGGUGAAAUCCUGCAGCUUAACUGUGGGAAUUGCUGGAGAUACUAUUAGACUUGAGAUCGGGAGAGGUUAGAGGUACUCCCAGGGUAGAGGUGAAAUUCUGUAAUCCUGGGAGGACCGCCUGUUGCGAAGGCGUCUGACUGGAACGAUUCUGACGGUGAGGGACGAAAGCUAGGGGCGCGAACCGGAUUAGAUACCGGGUAGUCCGUAGCUGUAAACGAUGCGGACUUGGUGUUGGGGUGGCGUUUGAGCUGUCCCAGUGCCGAAGGGAAGCUGUUAAGUCCGCCGCCUGGGAAGUACGGUCGCAAGACGUGAAACUUAAGGAAUUGGCGGGGGAGCGAACCG